GACGAACGCUGGCGGCGUGCUUAACACAUGCAAGUCGAACGGAAAGGCCCUGCUUUUGUGGGGUGCUCGAGUGGCGAACGGGUGAGUAACACGUGAGUAACCUGCCCUUGACUUUGGGAUAACUUCAGGAAACUGGGGCUAAUACCGGAUAGGAGCUCCUGCUGCAUGGUGGGGGUUGGAAAGUUUCGGCGGUUGGGGAUGGACUCGCGGCUUAUCAGCUUGUUGGUGGUGUAGUGGCUUACCAAGGCUUUGACGGGUAGCCGGCCUGAGAGGGUGACCGGCCACAUUGGGACUGAGAUACGGCCCAGACUCCUACGGUAGGCAGCAGUGGGGAAUAUUGCACAAUGGGCGGAAGCCUGAUGCAGCAACGCCGCGUGCGGGAUGACGGCCUUCGGGUUGUAAACCGCUUUCGCCUGUGACGAAGCGUGAGUGACGGUAAUGUGUAAAGAAGCACCGGCUAACUACGUG
rnacentral:rRNA from 1 species